CCUACGGGCGGCAGCAGUGAGGAAUAUUGGUCAAUGGGCGGGAGCCUGAACCAGCCAAGUCGCGUGAAGGAUGCCGGCCCUACGGGUUGUAAACUUCUUUUGUCAGGGAGCAAUUUGGUCCACGCGUGGGCUUAGCGAGAGUACCUGAAGAAAAAGCAUCGGCUAACUCCGUGCAAGAAGCCGGGGUAAUACGGAAGGUCCGGGCGUUAGCCGGAUUUAUUGGGGUUAAAGGGAGCGUAGGCGGCAUGUCAAGCGUGCUGUUAAAUGUCGGGGCUCAACCCGGGCCUUGCAGCGCGAACUGGCGUGCUUGAGUCCGCGGAAAGCAGGCGGAAUUCGUCGUGUAGCGGUGAAAUGCUUAGAUAUGACGAAGAACCCCGAUUGCGAAGGCAGCUUGCUGCAGCGGAACUGACGCUGAUGCUCGAAAGCGCGGGUAUCGAACAGGAUUAGAUACCCGAGUAGUC
rnacentral:rRNA from 1 species